UGCUGGUGCCAAUUCUCAAAAACAGAAUGGAAAAGGGAGAGAGAGAAAAUCACGGCCAAAAGAGUCCGCGAGCCACUCGCUCUCCCCUUUCGGGAUUUUUCUCUCUCACGGUUCGCUUCAGAGUCUUCUUCCACCGCCUCAUGUUUCCCAAAGGAAAAUGUCGCCGUCGUGCUCCUACUUUGAAGCAGUCUUGUAUAUAGACUCACAUCGCGCGCACCCGCUAGCAGUUGGCUGCUCCCUCUCAGUCUCACGUCUCACCGGCACCUUCCUCUUCCUCCUCCUCUCCCUGUCACCUUCUCUUGUACGUCACAUGUUGACACCAAUGCCCCGGACCAAACACCGUUCUGUACCAUUCAAGCAACCUCCUCCUCCUCUCUCUCUCGUCAUCCCGCCGUCCCAACGUCAAGUCUUCUCUUCAUCCUUCUCUCUCACCCAUCCACCCCUCUCCUCUCGCUCUCGCUCUCCCGCGCCUGCACCGAUCAGUUGCCAUAUAUUCCUCCACCCUCCCUAUCUCAAGCACCUACCCCGGGCCUUGCGUGGCGAUCGAGUUGCCACCAGACAACUCGGCUCGGCUCGUCGUCCACCGACCCUCCUCCUCGCUCCAAGCUUCCCUCUCCCCUCCUCCUCCGUCAGCUGGGGAGCUAGCUAGGGAGCGGCGCCGGCGGCUGAUCGAGCGGACAGACAGCUGAACGAGCCGGAAAUGGCGGCGGGGCGCGCGCCGUGGCUCGCCGCCGGCCUCGUGGCGGUGCUGAUGGUGGUGGCCGCGCGCGCGCGGUUCGUGGUGGAGAAGAGCAGCGUGCGGGUGCUGGCGCCCGAGCACAUCCGGGGCCACCACGACGCCGCCAUCGGCAACUUCGGCGUGCCCGACUACGGCGGCACGCUCACCGGCGUCGUCAUCUACCCGGACACCAAGCCCACGGGGUGCGACGACUUCGACGCCAAGUUCAAGGCCAAGUCCCGCCGCCCCGUCAUCCUCCUGCUCGACCGCGGAGAAUGCUACUUCGCGCUCAAGGCGUGGAACGCGCAGCGCGCGGGCGCGGCGGCGGUGCUGAUCGCGGACAGCGUGGACGAGCAGCUGCUGACGAUGGACAGCCCGGAGGCGUCGCCGGGCACGGAGUACAUCGACAAGAUCAACAUCCCGUCGGCGCUGGUGAACCGCGCGUUCGGCGAGUCCCUGAAAAAGAUGGCGCAGAAGGUGGCCGGCGCGGGCAGCGAGGAGGUGGUGGUGAAGCUGGACUGGCGGGAGUCGAUGCCUCACCCGGACGAGCGCGUGGAGUACGAGCUGUGGACCAACAGCAACGACGAGUGCGGCGCGCGGUGCGACGAGCAGAUGGCGUUCGUGCGCGGCUUCCGCGGCCACGCGCAGCUCCUGGAGCGCGCCGGGUACGCGCGCUUCACGCCGCACUACAUCACCUGGUACUGCCCCGAGGCGUUCCGGGCGACGCAGCAGUGCCGGUCGCAGUGCAUCAACCGCGGCAGGUACUGCGCGCCCGACCCGGAGGGGGACUUCGGCGCCGGCUACGAGGGCAAGGACGUGGUGGUGGAGAACCUGCGCCAGCUCUGCGUGCACCGCGUCGCCAACGAAACGGGCCGCCCCUGGGCCUGGUGGGACUACGUCAUGGACUACAAGAUCCGGUGCUCCAUGAAGGAGAAGAAGUACACCAAGACCUGCGCCGAGGACGUCGUCACCGCGCUCGGUCUGGAUCUCAAGAAGGUGCUGGAGUGCAUGGGCGACCCCGAGGCCGACGCCGACAACGCCGUCCUGUCCAAGGAGCAGGAAGACCAGAUCGGUAGCGGAUCGCGAGGCGACGUCACCAUCCUGCCGACCCUGGUCAUCAACAACGUCCAGUACAGAGGGAAAUUGGAGCGGACGGCAGUGCUGAAGGCCGUGUGCGCCGGCUUCAAGGAAGGGACCGAGCCCCGCGUCUGCCUCAGCCAUGACAUCGAGACGAACGAGUGCCUGCACAGGAACGGCGGGUGCUGGCGCGACGAGGCCACCAACGUGACGGCCUGCCAGGACACGUACCGGGGCCGGGUGUGCGAGUGCCCCGUGGUGAACGGCGUCCGCUACGAGGGCGACGGCUACACUGACUGCAAAGCUAUUGGGCCGGGCAGGUGCGCUCUCAACAACGGCGGGUGCUGGUCGGCGACGCGAGGGCACCAGACCUUCUCCGCCUGCACGGAGACCGCGCUGACAGGGUGCCGGUGCCCGCCGGGGUUCCAUGGCGACGGCCACAAAUGUGAAGCCGACCGGACAGCAAGAAUGGCCGAACUAAUCGAGAUGCCCCCGAUCCGUGUCGUCCUCCUCCAGACCUGGACGAGUGCAGGGAGAAGCUGGCGUGCACGUGCCCGGACUGCCAGUGCAAGAACACGUGGGGCAACUACGAGUGCAAGUGCAAGGGCAACCAGCUCUACAUCCGGGGCGAGGACGUCUGCAUAGCUAACAGCAUGUCGAAGCUCGGCUGGUUCAUCACCAUCGCGGCCGUGGCGUGCGUCCUCGGCGUCGGGGUCGCCGGCUACGUCUUCUACAAGUACAGGCUCAGGUCGUACAUGGACUCGGAGAUCAUGUCCAUCAUGUCCCAGUACAUGCCGCUGGACAGCCAGAACAACGAGAACCAGCCUCUGCGGCAGCACGAUUCGGAGGCUCUGAGGCACUAAAGGGGCCCCAAUGCAAGAUGCGCACAUGAUCUCGACAGAUAUAAUCUGCUCCGGUUUCGACGACGAUGGUUUGCUUCGCUUUUGUAUAGCGCGUAGAAAACAAAAAGGAGGACGGUUUGUACUGUGCCGAGGACAGAGUUGAGCUCUAGAGAGUUUAGACAGGUAGGCAUUUCGCUCGGCUCUCUUGGGAGCUAGUAGUCUUGUGGGUCAAGAGCCGUUUAAAGCACACAAACAGCAUGUAGAAAAAAAAGGCGUAUACGAGCUGCUAUACAUGUACAUUGUACAGUAGACAAAUCCUACUACGGACAAUUUGUUACUGCCAUAUUUGGUAUGCGCGGGAGUUUCACCUUAUGAUUGGUAGGAGUAAGGAGUGUACUAUACUGUACUGCAUUAAAAAUUGUGUGGAA